UCAACUGGUAAAAGCUGAAAGGCAAAGCCCUUUGGCGCCAGUUCGAGCUCCUACAGGGCCACUGAGAGCAUUGCAAACUGUACGUAUAUUUACGGGUCCGUGGAACUUGCCGGUGGACCCGCCUUGAAACAUUGGGGCCGAAGGGUACAACUAAUCGAGGAGUGGUUGGUAAAGGCUGAGGAGCAAAGCUCUUUGUCUGCGUGUUGUACCUCGAAAACCACGGUUACUAAAAAAAGAAAAACAAAACAAGGAAAGCAAAUGAUGGUGGAGAAUUUGGUGGACAGGAGGAGAAUAUGAAGGGCAAAAUGGGAAAAGAGAUUACAGCUAGCAAACGGCUCAAUCAGAGGUGGAGUGGGACCCAAGCCAGCUUGACAACUUGCUCACGUGGCUUAGCUGGAUCUAAAAAGAUCAUGCCGUCAAACAAAUUGCGCCCUUUU
rnacentral:lncRNA from 1 species